rnacentral:sRNA from 2 species
UCUGCCAUCAGUCCUGUAUGCUGUGUGACCAGUGGGCGUUUGUGUCGGGGAAGCGUUAAAUUCAUGGGACCUCACCGAAUGGGCCAGUUUUUGGGGCGACAUCCGAAUAUCCUUGCAAGGAGCCUGGCAACCCCUUGGCGAAUUCCUCCAUUGUGAUUUCAUUCCACGAGAAACCAUGACGUUUCAAAUCGCGCCAUCCAGGGUCGUUUUGGUUCCUUUAACUUUAAUGUAUUCUCCGAAGAAUACCGACAAGAGCCCAACCCCCACACCAGGUUUGAACGGAAAUUCCCGACCUCCAAAUUCCAAGAGCUGAGAGGAGCCGAAACCCUGCACUACCGCGGGCUGAACUACCUACUCUCCUUCGUACAUAUCUGAACCCGACCCAUUCCAGGGGGUGCACAGAUUUGUUGGUUCAAUACCUGCCAAUGGCUGAUUAACUCAUCAUGUUACAUUUGCUGACUUGAAUCAAGGUACAGUAGUUAGUUUUGCUGAACCACCCCAUUUUUCUUAAAUUUCGGCCAUUUCUCCAUCCUAUUCGUGGGACGGGAGUGUCACAAUACCACUCGAUAUAUCUUCCCUCAAGGUUUCUGCGGCUCAGCUGCAGAUUCUCCACACCUCUUCUCACAUUGAAUUGAUUCAGCACAUACUAUAAAUAUCACAACCAGGGUGCAUCUGACUUAUCCAAGUAUUUCUGUAAUGCCUAGGUUGAGGGCUGAGGCAUCCCCCAGGGGGGUUAACUAGGAACAGGGUACGGGUUCCAAUAACAGCGGCGGCUGUUAUUGUGUAUGACCUUUUUGGUCGAGUGGUUAAGGGCUGUGCUUGGGAGCCAUUACAAUUUCAAGAAACCUACUAGAACCCCAAGAUUUCGAAUCUCUACCCUUCCUGUUCACUUUGUGUUUCAAAACGGACCCAGGUGCAUGGUAUAAAAUUGGCUAAAUGAGGGCUCCCUGCUCUUCAUUGACAAUCUGAGCUAUCCGAAGGUUGCUACAAUUAGUACACUCUCAACUUUCCAGUACAGCUUUAGUUUGAAAAGUUGACAUCUUUAAAGUGUAUAAUUGUCAACAGCUUUCCAAGGUAUAAGAUCUCUGAGUUCUAAUUUGUCUCAUUUGUCGAAUACCUUGGGGGUCUGUUGUGGCAUUCAUGAUAGCUUUCUUUAUAAAUCUAGGAAUUACAGCAGUCAGCCACGCCGGUAUCUUGUUGGUACGCAUGAGUAUGCUAACCAGUGUGAAUAAUAUGAGCCUUAGAAGAUAUUAAGGGCGGUUAACAGCUCCAGUAGUAAUGAAUG